UACGUAGGGGGCAAGCGUUGUCCGGAAUUAUUGGGCGUAAAGAGCGUGUAGGCGGUCCGGUAAGUCAGCUGUGAAAGUCAAGGGCUCAACCCUUGAAAGCCGGUUGAUACUGUCGGGCUAGAGUCCGGAAGAGGCGAGUGGAAUUCCUGGUGUAGCGGUGAAAUGCGCAGAUAUCAGGAGGAACACCGAUUGCGAAGGCAGCUCGCUGGGACGUCACUGACGCUGAGACGCGAAAGCGUGGGGAGCAAACAGG
rnacentral:rRNA from 1 species